AGCGUUUCAGAAUUCUCUGGAAGCUUUCAGAGAUAUUUUUUUUAUUAAGUGUAUUGUGUAAGCUUUACACAUAUGUACAGAAACUAAUAUAAACGGACUGGGUCGGGUGGUACACAGGGGUCAAAUGGUCCAAUUACUUACGGGCUCAGAUAUGACCCACUUAUACAGCUAAGACAAGCCCAAUGUCUUUUAUCAUUAUAGCCCUAUAAGAUAUACACCAUAUAUACAAUGAAUAUACAUUAGAUAUACAUAGGUUACAAUUAUGUAUUGUCUUUCAUCUCAACACCCCCCCUCUCAAGUUGAAGGGGGACACAACCUGCAACUUGGACAGAAGAGGAGAAAGUGCAGUGCCAGAUAAGGGCUUAGUCAGCAAGUCAGCAAGCUGCCGAGAAGUAAAGACAUGAAGUAGCUUAAGAGAACCAGUGAGGAGCAAGUCCCGGACGAAAUGACAAUCCACCUCGAUAAGUUUGGUGCGUUCAUGGAAAACAGGAUUGUUAGAAAUGUGAACAGCAGCCUGACUAUCACAAUAAACAAAGAUAGGAGAAGGAACAGAUACCCCAAGAUCAUCAAGUAGACAAGAAAGCCAGGUCAAUUCAGCAGCAACCUUGCUGAGUGCUCUGUAUUCUGCCUCAGCAGAGGAAAGAGAAAAAACAGGUUGUUUCUUCGAUUUCCAACUGAUCAAACUGCCACCCAAAAGCACACAAAAACCAGUAACAGAACGUCUAGUAUCAGGGCAAGCAGCCCAGCCACUAUCAGAUUUCUUCGAUUUCCAACUGAUCAAACUGCCACCCAAAAGCACACAAAAACCAGUAACAGAACGUUUAGUAUCAGGGCAAGCAGCCCAGUCACUGUCAGAGUAGCCAGUCAAAACAUGCAGAGCAGCAGUCAUAUGAGGAAGUCUGGGGCAUUUGAGAAAUUAACUCAGAUGUUGCACCGCAAAGCAUAUGUCAGGUCUCGUAUGGGUGAGGAACAACAAUUUACCAACAAGACUGCUCGGGAGAGGGCAAAAUGUCACCAGAAUCAGCAUGCAACUUGACAUUAAUGGCCAAAGGGGAAACAACAGAUGAAACAUUAACACAGUCAAAGUUGUGCAGCAAAUCAGAAACAUACUUAUGCUGAUGAAGGUGUAGUCCACCAGGGACAGUGUGUACCUCAAGACCCAAAAAAUAAUUCAGAGACCCCAAAUCUUUGAUUUUAAACUGGUCAUCCAGAAAGAGUUUUAGUGCAGCAAGCUCAUCACAGUCAUCCCCAGUCAGUAUAAUAUCAUCCACAUAGACAGCUACCACCACAAGGGAACCAGGAGCACCUUUGAGGAACAAGGAAUAGUCAUUCAAAGAAUGCCUAAACCCUCUGGAAUAAAGAGCAGAGGAGAGUUUGGCAUACCAUUGUCUAGAGGCUUGCCUGAGACCAUAUAGAGACUUAUUGAGCUUACAAACCAGAGGAGAAGAAGAAGGAAAAGGAGAAACAGAGUCAGAAGUAGGAUCAGAAACAGUCAAACCUGGAGGAAGUUUCAUGUACACUUCCUCAUCCAAAUCACCAUGAAGAAAGGCAUUAUUGACAUCAAGCUGAAACAAAGGCCAGUGGUUCUUGACAGCCACAGCAAUGAGGCAUUUCACUGAAGUCAUUUUAAUGACAGGAGAAAAAGUGUCAGUAAAAUCAACACCCUCAACUUGGGUAUCACCCCUAAUAACCAGCCUUGCUUUAUAUCUUUCAACUAGACCAUCAGACUUGUAUUUGACUUGGAGCCAGAAAAGGCAGGCAAUUGACACAUAGUCCUUUAGGUAGGUAGGUGGCUAAUGUUGUCUGGUGGAUUUUCUAGUCAGAGGAGGUGGUUGGGAAGGAGGUAACAGAGGAACAGGGAUAUCAUGAUUGAAAGAGGGAGGAGAAGGAGCAGGAUCAGAAGUUGGAGGAGAGGAAUCAGGAAUGGAAGAAAUAGCCUCAGUAAAAUCAUCAGGAAUAGGAACAGAAGAAAAGGGUGAAGGAGAAGGUGGGGAAGGUAUAUAUUUGGUCUUAAAAGGGAAGUAGGUUUCAUGAAAAACAACAUCUCUAGAGACAAAACAUUUUUUAGUGUCCAAAUUAUACAAUUUAUACCCUUUCUUACCAAAGGGGUAACCCAGGAAAACACAAGAAUGGGCUCUAGGUUUCAGUUUGUCUCUUUGAGGAAUUGGAACAGCUGCAUAAGCUAGACAACCAAAUGCCCUCAAAUUAGAGUAAGAUGGAGGGGUACCAUGUAAGAUUUCAUGGGGAGAUUUAUGGUGAAGGACUCUAGAUGGUAGUCUGUUAAGAAGGUAAGUGGCAGUUAACAGGAAAUCCCCCCAAAAUGAAACAGGUAAACAAGACUGAAAGAGAAGGGCUCUACAAGUCUCAAGUAGAGUUCUGUGUUUUCUUUCAACAACCCCAUUCUGUUGAGGGGAAUGUGGACAGGUGGUUUGAUGAACAAUCCCCAGGUUACUAAAAAAGGACAUACCUUCAGCACUGGAACCCAGUUCCAGUGCAUUGUCACUUCUGACAAUCUGGACCAUAGUGUGAAAUUGAGUUUGAACAUAGGAGAUGAAAGAUUUAAGCAAAGAAAAGGCAUUGCUCUUGGAACCCAUCAAAUGUGUCCAGGUGGCUCUAGAGAAUUCAUCAACUAUAGUAAGGAAAUAUUUAUAACCAGAAGAAGUAGCAGUAUGGUAAGGUCCUCAAGUAUCUACAUGGAUUAAUUGAAAAGGUUUAACAGCACUGAUGCUACUGUCAGG
rnacentral:lncRNA from 1 species